AUAUUGGACAAUGGGGGCAACCCUGAUCCAGCCAUCCCGCGUGUGCGUUGAAGGCCUUCGUGUUGAAAAGCACUUUUGGCAGGGAAGAAAAGGCCCUGGCUAAUACCUGGAGCUGCUGACGGUACCUGCAGAAUAAGCACCGGCUAAAUACGUACCAGCAGCCGCGGUAAGACGUAGGGUGCAAGCGUUAAUCGGAAUUACUGGGCGUAAAGCGUGCGCAGGCGGUUCGGAAAGAAAGGUGUGAAAUCCCAGGGCUUAACCUUGGAACUGCACUUUUAACUGCCGGGCUAGAGUACGUCAGAGGGGGGUAGAAUUCCACGUGUAGCAGUGAAAUGCGUAGAGAUGUGGAGGAAUACCGAUGGCGAAGGCAGCCCCCUGGGAUGAUACUGACGCUCAUGCACGAAAGCGUGGGGAGCAAACA
rnacentral:rRNA from 1 species